CCGUUCUCAAGCAAAAUACCAGAGGCAAGUUCAGAAACAGUGUCACACAACUUCUUAACAAUAGAUUUGGUCUGCUCGUGCUGGAUACAAGCCAAUAGAAUAGAUUUGAUAGAAGACUGAGUGGAGGGGGACAGACGAGGCCAGAGAUAUGCAUCGUCACGGGUAAGGAGCUUGCGGAGAAGAACAGCAGACAUUGCUCGACCCUCUGUGUGAGAAGAGUGCUGAAGGAGGUGAGCCAGUUUGAGGGACAGAGAAUUGGGAUCGGUCUGCUUGCAGAGGUUGAAAGCGAGCUCAGCCUGCGAUCGCUGCUCGUUGGAGGAAGACAUGAGAGAGGAGAUUAGGUUUUCAAAAGGGGCAGGGUCCUGGCCGAGUAUGGCGGCGGGCUGGGCUUGUUGGAGUUGGUGAGUUGAAUCGUCCCUAGUUAGAGAGAAUUAGGGGUUU
rnacentral:misc_RNA from 1 species